rnacentral:rRNA from 1 species
ACUUGACGUUGGUUUACCAGCGAGUGGCGGACGGGUGAGUUAACACGUAGGUAACCUGCCCCAAAGCGGGGGAUAACAUUUGGAAACAGAUGCUAAUACCGCAUAACAAUUUGAAUCGCAUGAUUCAAAUUUAAAAGAUGGUUUCGGCUAUCACUUUGGGAUGGACCUGCGGCGCAUUAGCUUGUUGGUAGGGUAACGGCCUACCAAGGCUGUGAUGCGUAGCCGAGUUGAGAGACUGAUCGGCCACAAUGGAACUGAGACACGGUCCAUACUCCUACGGGAGGCAGCAGUAGGGAAUCUUCCACAAUGGGCGCAAGCCUGAUGGGGCAACACCGCGUGAGUGAAGAAGGGUUUCGGCUCGUAAAGCUCUGUUGUUAGAGAAGAACGUGCGUGAGAGCAACUGUUCACGCAGUGACGGUAUCUAACCAGAAAGUCACGGCUAACUACGUGCCAGCAGCCGCGGUAAUACGUAGGUGGCAAGCGUUAUCCGGAUUUAUUGGGCGUAAAGCGAGCGCAGGCGGUUUGAUAAGUCUGAUGUGAAAGCCUUUGGCUUAACCAAAGAAGUGCAUCGGAAACUGUCAGACUUGAGUGCAGAAGAGGACAGUGGAACUCCAUGUGUAGCGGUGGAAUGCGUAGAUAUAUGGAAGAACACCAGUGGCGAAGGCGGCUGUCUGGUCUGCAACUGACGCUGAGGCUCGAAAGCAUGGGUAGCGAACAGG